GGUCUAUGAUGUCUCUUGGCAUGUAUUAUCUGAGCAGCAGGCUGAAGAUGAGCAGUUCUGCUCUUGAGUUCCUCUGAGACCUG